CGCCCUGGGAUGAGAGGCGUGGGUUUUACCCAAUAGGGUUUGAGAAGAACGGGGCGGCCCCCACUCACUGAGCUUGUCUUGGGAAAGCGGAAUGUUUGGAUGGUUAACGUGGAGAAAGAGGCGUGUUUGCGCGUGGUACUAGGCCUCCGACUUUAAGGGAGGCUUGAGGGUCGGAAAUGAGAAGAAAGCAGGUUAAGGAAACAGAUCUUCAGCAAGGCCCUGGAGGACAGGAGUACUUGUAGCUUGAGAGACCGAGUCGUACUUUUCAUUUCUGCUGUUGAGGAAGCAAAAAUCUGCCCAGCCAUUCAUCAGGUAGAAGAAUGUGAGCUGUCACUGGGGAGGAACACAUUGGAUGCUUCAUCUGUACUGACUUCUCAGGGUGCUAGCCAUCCCAAACAACAAUGAAACAAGAAACAAACUCUACCUUUGAUAAUACUAGAAGAUCUAUAUAACCCUGAAACUCAUCAGGUCUUCCAGGUCCAACCUGUCAACUUGUAGACUAAUAUAAUACGCUGGGCCAUGAAGAAGACUGGACAAAAAUGGCCCAGUGCUAACCUUUUAUCUGGAGAACAAAAGUAACUCAA